AGGAUUAACGCUGGCGGCGUGCCUAACACAUGCAAGUCGAACGAGGUAGCAAUACCUAGUGGCAGACGGGUGAGUAACGCGUGGUCAACCUACCGUUGAGUGGGGGAUAACUAGCCGAAAGGUUAGCUAAUACCGCAUACGUCUCCGAGGGGCAUCCCUUGGCGAUAAAAGGAGCAAUCCGCUCGAUGACGGGACCGCGUCCCAUUAGCUAGAUGGUAGGGUAACGGCCUACCAUGGCACCGAUGGGUAGCUGGUUUGAGAGAGCGACCAGCCACACUGGGACUGAGAAACGGCCCAGACUCCUACGGGAGGCAGCAGUGAGGAAUUUUCCGCAAUGGGCGCAAGCCUGACGGAGCGACGCCGCGUGUGGGAAGAAGGCCUUCGGGUCGUAAACCACUGUCGAAGGGGACGAUAAUGACGGUACCCUUGGAGGAAGCCCCGGCUAACUACGCGCCAGCAGCCGC
rnacentral:rRNA from 1 species